rnacentral:rRNA from 1 species
CCUACGGGAGGCAGCAGUGAGGAAUAUUGGUCAAUGGGCGCGAGCCUGAACCAGCCAAGUCGCGUGAGGGAUGACGGUCCUACGGAUUGUAAACCUCUUUUGCCGGGGAGCAAGCGUGCGUUCGUGAACGCGCGUCGAGAGUACCCGGAGAAAAAGCAUCGGCUAACUCCGUGCCAGCAGCCGCGGUAAUACGGAGGAUGCGAGCGUUAUCCGGAUUUAUUGGGUUUAAAGGGUGCGCAGGCGGGCCUUUAAGCCGGCGGGGAAAUCGCGGGGCUCAACCCCGCCGAGCCGUCGGAACUGGGGGCCUUGAGUGCGGCGGAGGCAUGCGGAAUGCGCGGUGUAGCGGUGAAAUGCAUAGAUAUCGCGCAGAACUCCGAUAGCGAAGGCAGCUUACCAGACUGCGACUGACGCUGAAGCACGAGAGCGUGGGUAGCGAACAGGAUUAGAUACCCUUGUAGU